rnacentral:tRNA from 1 species
UGCUCUGUGGUUUAGUUGGUGAAAGCGUCGGUCUAGCGAAUACAGAGUCGUGGGUUCGUAUCCCACCAGAUCCC